UUUGUUUCGUUUUUCUCCUGUUUUUUUCUUCUCCUUUUGAUUCUUUAAAAGUUGGGAUAUAUGCUAUGAAGAUAACGCCUGGAAAGGAAAUUCGAUUGCGCGAUUUGUUUCAUAACUAAUCCGCGAAAUGAAUCCUUGAUAUAUUCUGUAAUUUGCUAGUGU